UUCUUCAAAUUGCGUUACGAAGCAUCGUUUACCUCAACUUUUUUGCUUACAUCUUCUAUCACUAUGCGAUUUUGGCUCUCAUUUUCUCUCUUUUUGGUCUGACUUAUCGUCUCUCAUCUUCAUCCGAGCAUUUGGCCUCCUUCUCGCCAUUCAUUUGUACACAUUUUCUACCGUCAUCGAUCUCUGAAAGGUUGCUAAGAUGGUCAUCCCUGCUGAGAAAUAUUUUCCUACUACAGUUUCUCGUCACUUUGAAGGAAUCGCUUUCUUUCAAUGUUUUUAUGUGGAUCCUCCACUUGCAUUCCUCCAUUGAACAUCGUACAGUUAGCAAGCUUUUUGUUAACUUUUUUACAUGACAGUCAUGAGUUAUUAUGAUGAGGUCGUCAUACAAUGGGCCCUUUGAUGGUCUGGGUAUAUUUACAAACGGUUGGGUUGGAAUGGUGGAAUGCAUUUGAACCGAAGGCAUCACAACUGGUGGGACGAAAGCAGGUGGGGUUGGAACAUGAAUGUAAGGUGUUGGAAAAGUUUGUGGUCCUGAAGAUUGUCCAUAUUCAUGGUUAGUAUCGAACUGUGGAGUACAUAUAGGUUCAUUGUUGUGACCAAACCAAGCUUCACUUCGAUCUUCCCCAAAGUUACAUAGCUCAAUAUGAUCAUCCAUUGAAAACAUGGUGGGAAUAUUACAUGUUGAAAUGGUUGUAUAUCCAAAGUUUUGAUUAAUUGGAAUUGGUUGAUUCGUUGGAUUGCAUUAUUGGUACAUAUUCUCAGUGUACUCCAUGACUUUCGUACGGCGUAACUGAUACAAAUAACGACAUCCGAGAUGCAUCACUAUCUUCUCAAAAGAAGUCAAGAUCUUCAUCGUCGACUAUGUCA